CGCUCAGCGUCCCGCAAGAAGAGUCGGCGGUCGCGGUCCUACUCCGGCUCCCGUAAACGCUCUCGACGUCACAGGUCCAGCUCUUAGCAGCGGACGUCUGCAGCAGCUGGUUCUCCGGCGGCCCAGCCCUGUCCGGCGCAAGUGCGCGUGCGUUAUUAUCAUUGGCGUGAGCAUGUUGGCGCGAGUCGUUUAAGACUCGCUUGCCAGUUUGUGUGUAAAUAGAUGCGGCCCGUCUGUCAUUUGGGCUCAGGCUCUGCCUUUCUAUGCCGACUUUUAGUCUCAAUAAAUUGCUGGCGGUCAUCCA